UCCAUGCUAGCUCAGCUGGUUAGAGUGUGGUGCUGAUAAUGCCAAGGUUGCAGGUUUGAUCCCCAUAUUCCUGCUUUGCAGGGGAU
rnacentral:tRNA from 1 species